AUUGAACGCUGGCGGCAGGCCUAACACAUGCAAGUCGAACGAGUGGCGGACGGGUGAGUAAUGUCUGGGAAACUGCCUGAUGGAGGGGGAUAACUACUGGAACCGGUAGCUAAUACCGCAUACCAUCGGAUGUGCCCAGAUGGGAUUAGCUAGUGGGUGGGGGAAAGGCUCACCUAGGCGACGAUCCGUAACUGGUCGGAGAGGAUGAACAGCCAAACUGGAACUGAGACACGGUCCAGACUCCGACGGGAGGCAUCAGUGGGGAAUAUUGGACAAUGGGGGCAAGCCUGAUGCAGCCAUGCCGCGUGUUUGAAGAAGGUCUUCGGAUUGUAAAGUACUUUAAGUGGGGAGGCGUUACCAGCAGAAGAAGCACCGGCUAACUCCGUGCCAGCAGCCGCGGUAAUUC
rnacentral:rRNA from 1 species